rnacentral:misc_RNA from 1 species
AAGAAUAUGACAACGAAUGAAACAAUAAUAGAUGAGAUACAAAAAUACAAGGAAAUAUAUUCAUGGAACUUUUCUAUAUUCAACGGUAGACUCAUAACAGAUAUCUGCAUAGAUGUUGAUUAUAUGUUUUAUUACUAUUAAGUCAAAUUCACAUUAGCUAGUAUAUGUGUCAUAUUUACUGUAUUAACAAUGAUGUUUUUGUUGAAUUGCUG